AUUGAACGCUGGCGGCAGGCCUAACACAUGCAAGUCGAGCGGAUGAGGGGAGCUUGCUCCUGGAUUCAGCGGCGGACGGGUGAGUAAUGCCUAGGAAUCUGCCUGGUAGUGGGGGAUAACGUCCGGAAACGGGCGCUAAUACCGCAUACGUCCUGAGGGAGAAAGUGGGGGAUCUUCGGACCUCACGCUAUCAGAUGAGCCUAGGUCGGAUUAGCUAGUUGGUGGGGUAAAGGCCUACCAAGGCGACGAUCCGUGACUGGUCUGAGAGGAUGAUCAGUCACACUGGAACUGAGACACGGUCCAGACUCCUACGGGAGGCAGCAGUGGGGAAUAUUGGACAAUGGGCGAAAGCCUGAUCCAGCCAUGCCGCGUGUGUGAAGAAGGUCUUCGGAUUGUAAAGCACUUUAAGUUGGGAGGAAGGGCAGUAAGUUAAUACCUUGCUGUUUUGACGUUACCAACAGAAUAAGCACCGGCUAACUUCGUG
rnacentral:rRNA from 1 species